UACAAACCAUCAUCUUCCAUUCCAUUCAGCUGGAUGGAUUUAAGGGACAGAAUAAUAAAGAAUACCAUUCUAGAGGAAACCAGUUAGCAUUUAUGCCAUUUAAAAUAUGAUUUCUAAAUUGCUUAAGCAUAUCUAUCAAAUUCCAAAUGGAACAUUUAAAAUCAGCAUCCUAUAAAAGCAAUACUCUGUGAAAUGAUUUCUGAACUGUGAAAAUUUGUCUUUCAGACCCAUCAUCCUAGAGCAUUGAGACUGGAUAGAUUGCUUUGUUGGAAGAGCCACCCCAUCUUCGCCAGAGCAGAGAUGUUCUUCUCUACCACGAUGUUAGAGGAAGCUUCCUAACACUCCAGACUGCUCCUGGGCCAAGUCCCCUCCCCCUGCUGAGUGAGGUGCCUGUCUUUGGAGGCUUCCACCAACCCGGCCCUCUUCUGCUCCCUGCCUCCAGCCUCACAUCCUGCUCCUGGGACACGGGUGUGCGCUGCCACCAGCCUCUCCUCACUGCCAGCCAUGAACACAAGCUUUCACGUCCUGAGGACACUGAAACAUCCUAUGGAGAGGUCCGUGUGGUGAGGAAUGGAGACCUCUGGCCAACAGCCAGUGAGAAACUGAAGCUUCCUGCCAACAACCACGCAAUGCAGCUUGGAAUCGGAUUCUCUAGCUGCCACUGAGCCUUGAGAUGACUGCAACCCUGGCCGACAGCUUGGCGGUAACCUCAUGAGGAAACCCAAGCCAGAAUCACCCCAAUAAGCCACUCCCAGGUUCCUGACACUCAGAAAUGGUAUCAGCUAAUAAAUGUCUGUUAAAGCAAUUCCAUCGAUAUGAAGAGAAUUUCUGAAAAACAGGCCACAGGGAGGUCCCUUAGUGGGAUGUCACAUUACGGUAUUUUGCCUUGGGGUGAUACCUAACCUGAGCCUCAGAUCUAGCUUUUAUGAAGACAUCUGAUAAGGCUGUUUCAUGCAUCUCUUGAGAUUGUUCAGUUGGGCUUCCCUGGUGGCACAGUGGUUAAGAAUCUGCCUGCCAAUGCAGAGGACACGGGUUUGAGCCCUGGUCCAGGAAGAUCUCACAUGCCGCCGAGCAACUAAGCCUGUGCGCCGUAACUACUGAGCCUGAGCUCUAGAGCCCACGAGCCACAACUACUAAGGCCGCAUGCCACAACUACUGAAGCCCUUGCACCUACAGCCCGUGCUCCGCAACAAGAGAAGUCUCUGCCAUGAGAAGGCUGCGCACUGCAAUGAAAGAGUAGCCCCCGCUCGCUGCAACUAGAGAAAGCCCGUGCACAGCAACAAAGACCCAACACAGCCAAAAAUAAAUAAAUAAAUAAAUAAAUUU